AAAUUGAAGAGUUUGAUCAUGGCUCAGAUUGAACGCUGGCGGCAGGCCUAACACAUGCAAGUCGAACGGUAACAGGAAGAAGCUUGCUUCUUUGCUGACGAGUGGCGGACGGGUGAGUAAUGUCUGGGAAACUGCCUGAUGGAGGGGGAUAACUACUGGAAACGGUAGCUAAUACCGCAUAACGUCGCAAGACCAAAGAGGGGGACCUUCGGGCCUCUUGCCAUCGGAUGUGCCCAGAUGGGAUUAGCUUGUUGGUGGGGUAACGGCUCACCAAGGCGACGAUCCCUAGCUGGUCUGAGAGGAUGACCAGCCACACUGGAACUGAGACACGGUCCAGACUCCUACGGGAGGCAGCAGUGGGGAAUAUUGCACAAUGGGCGCAAGCCUGAUGCAGCCAUGCCGCGUGUAUGAAGAAGGCCUUCGGGUUGUAAAGUACUUUCAGCGGGGAGGAAGGGAGUAAAGUUAAUACCUUUGCUCAUUGACGUUACCCGCAGAAGAAGCACCGGCUAACUCCGUGCCAGCAGCCGCGGUAAUACGGAGGGUGCAAGCGUUAAUCGGAAUUACUGGGCGUAAAGCGCACGCAGGCGGUUUGUUAAGUCAGAUGUGAAAUCCCCGGGCUCAACCUGGGAACUGCAUCUGAUACUGGCAAGCUUGAGUCUCGUAGAGGGGGGUAGAAUUCCAGGUGUAGCGGUGAAAUGCGUAGAGAUCUGGAGGAAUACCGGUGGCGAAGGCGGCCCCCUGGACGAAGACUGACGCUCAGGUGCGAAAGCGUGGGGAGCAAACAGGAUUAGAUACCCUGGUAGUCCACGCCGUAAACGAUGUCGACUUGGAGGUUGUGCCCUUGAGGCGUGGCUUCCGGAGCUAACGCGUUAAGUCGACCGCCUGGGGAGUACGGCCGCAAGGUUAAAACUCAAAUGAAUUGACGGGGGCCCGCACAAGCGGUGGAGCAUGUGGUUUAAUUCGAUGCAACGCGAAGAACCUUACCUGGUCUUGACAUCCACAGAACUUUCCAGAGAUGGAUUGGUGCCUUCGGGAACUGUGAGACAGGUGCUGCAUGGCUGUCGUCAGCUCGUGUUGUGAAAUGUUGGGUUAAGUCCCGCAACGAGCGCAACCCUUAUCCUUUGUUGCCAGCGGUCCGGCCGGGAACUCAAAGGAGACUGCCAGUGAUAAACUGGAGGAAGGUGGGGAUGACGUCAAGUCAUCAUGGCCCUUACGACCAGGGCUACACACGUGCUACAAUGGCGCAUACAAAGAGAAGCGGCCUCGCGAGAGCAAGCGGACCUCAUAAAGUGCGUCGUAGUCCGGAUUGGAGUCUGCAACUCGACUCCAUGAAGUCGGAAUCGCUAGUAAUCGUGGAUCAGAAUGCCACGGUGAAUACGUUCCCGGGCCUUGUACACACCGCCCGUCACACCAUGGGAGUGGGUUGCAAAAGAAGUAGGUAGCUUAACCUUCGGGAGGGCGCUUACCACUUUGUGAUUCAUGACUGGGGUGAAGUCGUAACAAGGUAACCGUAGGGGAACCUGCGGUUGGAUCACCUCCUUACCUUAAAGAAGC
rnacentral:rRNA from 1 species